rnacentral:siRNA from 1 species
UGUAUUUUUAGGGCUUCAUUAGGC